UACGUAGGGUGCGAGCGUUAAUCGGAAUUACUGGGCGUAAAGCGUGCGCAGGCGGUCUUGCAAGACAGAUGUGAAAUCCCCGGGCUCAACCUGGGAACUGCAUUUGUGACUGCAAGGCUGGAGUGCGGCAGAGGGGGAUGGAAUUCCGCGUGUAGCAGUGAAAUGCGUAGAUAUGCGGAGGAGCACCGAUGGCGAAGGCAAUCCCCUGGGCCUGCACUGACGCUCAUGCACGAAAGCGUGGGGAGCAAACAGG
rnacentral:rRNA from 1 species